GGACUGCUGCUGCUCAAAGACGGUGUUGGUAUUGAUUUAGAAGAUGCAUCUCCUUCCUCAACAGUGGAACCUUCUGAUUCAAGUCUGGUCGUAAGCGGUGACACAAUGGCUUUUGCCGGCUUCCUUUUCUCGAGGAAGGAGUCAAAAGCUUUGGAAGAGUCAGGCUUUUGGAGAAGAACAGUCUUUGUGGCUUUUAGGAUUUC
rnacentral:misc_RNA from 1 species